UACUUUUUUUUUUUUUAGAUCACUAAUGAAAAAUUUAUUUCCCCUCUCUCUGAGCUAGUGCUCUUUUAAUUACCUCAAGCUUUUUUUCAGCAAAGAAUGGAAACUUUUAAUAAAGUCUUUUGAUGGCAGAAGCUGAAACCUUGAGAAGAAGCACUGACUACAGUAAGACUUGUACUGAAGUCUGCAGAGCUUGAUAAUGCUCCAAAUGCAUACCCAAGUGCACAUUUGCACAUGCUCACAAUUGUUAAACGUGCAAUUGGUGAGUUAAACGUGCAAUUGGUGAGUUAAAUGAUUUUAGUCUACUUUCACAGCAACAAGAAGUAAGGUGGAUUGCAGCCUCACCUCCUAAUUAGCUUUAAAUAAAAAAAAAAAAUCAAAAGCCCUGUUCUGUAGAUUGUGUGCAUUUGAAAUCCACAUUUCCAUGGGGCUUAUACCCCUUUUUCUUGGAGUGUCUACAGAAAUACCAAAUUCAACUACCAGAAAGCAAUUCAUCCUUUCAGUUUACCUACAGUGAAAUAAGCAUCUAGGGUAGUUUUUAAAACACACUGGCUAAAUGUGGAUUCAGUUGUUUGUUUCAACAUUAGAAAAGCAUUAAUCAGUGAUAUUGCAUUGACUUCCAAAGGUGUGUAUGCUUUGUGUGCUUGCUUAAAUGACUAACUCUCGUUAGUGAUCCCUAUAAAAGAGCAAAGAAGUUGUUUUAGCAACAUGAAGAAGUAAAUAGUUGAGGUUCUAGAAUUUUUAGUGACGAAACAUUAUGAUAACAUCUAAUUGUUCUUUACAGUUGUCCUCCAUGAAAGGCAAGAAUGGAAAUCUUGCAAGAAUAAUACAGAAGACUAAAGUAAUUUUUAUGUUUGAUAUGUUGAAGAACACAAAGGAAGAAGAAAAGACUGGGAAGAAAUUCAAAGAACAAUUCCCUGUGCAAGUAGAAGCACAUGAAAGCUAUUGAACAGCCUGAGAUGAUAAAUAAAUGAAACAGUGAGAAAGUUCAGCUCACUCAGUCUGGCAAGGAAGAAGCUCAGGAGAGAGCUAGGAGCAGCCUGCAGCUGUUGGAAGGGUAGUACAGCUAAAGCAGAGCCAAGCUCUUCUUGGAACUGUCAGAUGAUUGAUAUAACAGAUUAUUAUGUGGGAGACCAGGUUGAUUGUAAUGAAACACCAUGUUCAUGCUGAAAGAGGUUAAAAUUGGAUCAUUUUGGCUAUAAUGGUGGUCAGCUAUCACCUGAGAAGGCUUUGAAAUGUUCACAUUUAAAGCAGGAGGUCAGUCUAGCUGACCACCAGUGGUCCUUUUCAACAACAACUUAAAAGAUGGCAAGAGAAUACAGUUAGCAAAAAUACUGGUAAGCGGAGACAAAUAAUUGACCUGGAAAAUCUGCUGAGAGGUAUCUCUAGUCUAAUGCCAAGUGUCACUGCAUAUUUUUAUUAGCUAAAGUUGCAAUUUAUAGUUAGCAAAUCAGAAUAUGCUUUGAGAAAUAACUUGGCUACUAAACAUGAAUUACUGAUUUUGCUCAACAGAGCCUCCUCUCAGCUGCUGCACUGCCUUGCUUCAGGAAGUCAUAGACACAUGCACAUAACUUAACAGGUAUUGGUCUUCUAAGAAGGCCAGGAAAUGCAGGGUGGUCCCAGAGGGACUGAUACAGACAACUUAAACUGUGUUUUUUUUUCAAAUGUGUCACCCAACUCUGUGGAAAUAGAUUGUUAAAUUAAGUGCUUACCUCCAGGGUCAAAUGUGAUUUUCCAGCACAAUGCCAUAAGUCUGAUGCCUGUAUGGCUAUAGCAAUAGUCUCGUCAGAUCGAAUUCUGACACAAAAAAUGGAAUAGAGGAGCUUUUUAAAUACCUCAUCCUAGGUAGAUUUAAGUUAAUCAUCUGUGCAGUUCUGUACUGUCAAGUGGUGAUCUGGGCUAGAGUUUACUAGUUCUAACAUUACAGGCUGCUACUGCUCAACUCAGAGGAAGGAUGAAGAUGACACCUAACUGGAACCAAACUUCUACUGAAGAGAAGAGUUGGCACCACAGGGCAAUUACGAAUGGACACUUUCAUUUGUCACUAUAGACUGGCCAUAUAUAACUCUUCUGAAAUUUUUUUCAAAACUUAACGGUGGUUUUAGGUCAAUGAAUUUUUUGUUUUAAUGGCUAAGUUCUUUUAGGUUUGUUAUUUACUUAUACCUUUUUUGUAUUUGUAACACUCUCCCAUUUCAAGUGAUGUAAUCUUCCUCCUUUGUCUGGUAAUUCAUCUUUGUCUCUGCUGAAUCUUCAUUCUUGUUCUGGCAGUGCAUCCUUUUCUCUGGUAGAGAAUCUUCCUUUUAGUUCUAAAUAGCUCAAAAAAAAAAAAGACUUCAGAGGCAGUUAAAGUGAAAGGUAGUGCUACGAUAAGACUGUACGAGAUACCCUUCUUUAAUUCCUUCUAUUUAAUGCGUUGUGCUAUGUUUCUAAAUUUGGACUCCGUAGUUAUUCCACUUACGCUCCUGUACUGCCACCAGUGCAAUCUAAGCUUCCUUUAUGGCCUAGUAAAUGAUUCAAACCUGCUAUUUAAUGAAUUAAACCAAUCUUUUAAAAGAUCUAAAACAGCUUUAAAACAUAGCUGAUUGUAGCUACUUGAUACUAUCCCUAUAUAAACCAGCAUCAUAUAUAUAUAUAUAUUUACAAAAUCUGGAAACUACGCAUCCAGCAACUGGAACAGGGGCAUGGCAGACAAGUGGAAUUUGGACUGUCUUUGGCAAAGCUUAGUAUUACAUUACUGCUGUAGGGCAAUUACUAUUGUUUCAAUUACAACCCAUCAAUUCAUAUACAUUCAAUUGUAUAGUAGUUACAAAUUACACAGCAGGACUUAAAACUUUCUUUCUUUCUUCUUCAGAAAUACGUCUGACAAGUAUAGAAGCACCUACAAACCAAUAAGAAGCUAUAGCCACUCUGCAAAACCUACCAGUGCCUAACAGCUGAAGCCAAUUGGAACACAUAACAAGACAUGCAAUGUGCUGGAACCUGCCUAUAUUCAGCUUCAGCUCAGGAAACAAUUACUGUAUCUACAGCCAUAGGCUUCAAUAAGCAAUUGUAAUAGUAAUUACUGUACUUUUAUUAUGAAGCACAGCAGAAGAUUCACUUUGAGGAAGUCAAGAGGUAAAAACCUAAAUGUGAUUUAAACUUGACAUCUGUGCUGUGCUCCUUGAGUAUUACUGGGCUUCAAAGCUUAAUUAAAACCUUGUGUUGUGGCUUUAAGAAAACCUGAAUAAUAAAACUGAGUAAGCUGUUUAAAAAUAG
ensembl:lncRNA